rnacentral:lncRNA from 1 species
AUAUAUCUUAAGUUUUCAGUUUCGACCCCGUUUGGUCACCGAAAGUUGUACCGAACUGUAAUCUUUAUCAGAUAACUGUCGGAUUUUAUUUCUCACUCUACGGGUGUCACUGACAUAUCCUCCCGUUUCUCACAGAAAAUUCUAAAUCUUCUGUUUUCGCUCCGAUUUCAGCACAGGUCGUUUCUAACUCAUAUUUCACUUCUCUAAAUCCAAUAAAAAUAGUAUCUCAUACUAUUUUUAUUUAUUUUUAUUUUUUAUAUUAAAAUCCGGUAUAUUACAUUCCACCGCAACUUCAUAACUACAGAAGUUCGGCACCUUACAUUCUCCCCUCCUUAAAAGAGUUUCGUCCCCGCAACUAACUCAUUUCAACUCAAUUCACACUCCAACUCAAUUUAUCGG